rnacentral:lncRNA from 1 species
CCAUCUCCAGAGUCCACAGAUAGAUCCUGGCAGCCCUGAGCUAGACAGAGAAGAGCUUUACUGGAAGCUGAGCAGCCAGACCUGGAACUUCACAAGACUGGGGCCCUACAUCCUGGAUGAGGAAAGUCUCUACAUCAAUGGUGAGUGCAGUGUUUUGCACAUAGUAAGUGCCUGAUAAAUGCUUUUUGAUCCAUCCAUCCAUCCCAUCCAUCCACCCAUCCAUUCAUCCAUCCAAUGGUAAGUAGCCCAGGUAUUCAAAUGAACUUCUUUGUUGUAGUUCCUCCUUUCAAGGGAUU